GGAGAGGUACCGAAGUGGCCAUACCGGCGCGGACUCGAAAUCCGUUGGGGGCGUAAGCUCCACGUGGGUUCGAAUCCCACCCUCUCCGCCA
rnacentral:tRNA from 3 species